GCAGCCGCGGUAAUACGGAGGAUGCGAGCGUUAUCCGGAUUUAUUGGGUUUAAAGGGAGCGUAGGCGGGUUAUUAAGUCAGUCGUCAAAGCCUGCGGCUCAACCGCAGCCCGCGAUUGAUACUGGUAACCUUGAGUGCGGAUGAGGUGGAUGGAAUUCGUGGUGUAGCGGUGAAAUGCUUAGAUAUCACGAAGAACUCCGAUUGCGAAGGCAGUUCACUGGGCCGCAACUGACGCUGAAGCUCGAAAGUGUGGGAAUCAAACAGGAUUAGAUACCCC
rnacentral:rRNA from 1 species